AUUGAACGCUGGCGGCAUGCCUUACACAUGCAAGUCGAACGGUAACAGGCCGCAAGGUGCUGACGAGUGGCGAACGGGUGAGUAAUACAUCGGAACGUGCCCGAUCGUGGGGGAUAACGCAGCGAAAGCUGUGCUAAUACCGCAUACGAUCUACGGAUGAAAGCGGGGGAUCGCAAGACCUCGCGCGGACGGAGCGGCCGAUGGCAGAUUAGGUAGUUGGUGGGGUAAAGGCCUACCAAGCCGACGAUCUGUAGCUGGUCUGAGAGGACGACCAACCACACUGGGACUGAGACACGGCCCAGACCCCUACGGGAGGCAGCAGUGGGGAAUUUUGGACAAUGGGCGCAAGCCUGAUCCCGCCAUGCCGCGUGCAGGAUGAAGGCCUUCGGGUUGUAAACUGCUUUUGUACGGAACGAAAAGGUUUCUUUUAAUACAGGGAACUGAUGACGGUACCGUAAGAAUAAGCACCGGCUAACUACGUGCCAGCCGCCGCCGUAACAC
rnacentral:rRNA from 1 species